rnacentral:tRNA from 1 species
GGGCGGUUAGCUCAGUUGGUUAGAGCGCCACGUUGACAUCGUGGAGGUCACAAGUUCAACUCUUGUAUCGCCCA